GUAGGUGAACCUGCGGAAGGAUCAUUACCGUGGGCUGGAAACAGCCCAUUGAGAUAGCACCCUUUGUUUAUGAGCACCGUUGUUUCCUCGGCGGGCUUGCCCGCCGUUAGGACAUUGAAAACCCCUUUGCAGUAGCAGUACCUUCAGUUAAAAAUAAAUAUUAAAACUUUCAACAACGGAUCUCUUGGUUCUG
rnacentral:misc_RNA from 1 species